UACUCCUACGGGAGGCAGCAGUGGGGAAUAUUGGACAAUGGGGGGAACCCUGAUCCAGUCAUGCCGCGUGUGUGAAGAAGGCCUUUGGGUUGUAAAGCACUUUCAGCGAAGAAGAAAAGUUAUAAAAUAAAAAGUUAUAACUAUGACGGUACUCGCAGAAGAAGCACCGGCUAACUCCGUGCCAGCAGCCGCGGUGAUA
rnacentral:rRNA from 1 species